UACGUAGGGGGCAAGCGUUGUCCGGAAUUAUUGGGCGUAAAGAGCUCGUAGGCGGUCUGUCGCGUCGGCUGUGAAAACCCGGGGCUCAACCCCGGGCCUGCAGUCGAUACGGGCAGACUAGAGUACUGCAGGGGAGACUGGAAUUCCUGGUGUAGCGGUGGAAUGCGCAGAUAUCAGGAGGAACACCGGUGGCGAAGGCGGGUCUCUGGGCAGUAACUGACGCUGAGGCGCGACAGCGUGGGGAGCAAACAGG
rnacentral:rRNA from 1 species